rfam:Alligator mississippiensis ScZkoYb_58, whole genome shotgun sequence.
GGUUAUGACCAUGUCAGAAUGAAUGCCCAAAUUUGUUUGAUUUUUGAAGCUAAGAAGUCCUGAGCCUGGCUAGUACUUGGAUGGGAGAUCACAUUUAAAUCCUGGCACUGCAGAUA